CUUCUCCCUGCCCUGAGAGCAGUAUUGAGCUGUCACAGUCCCAAGAAAGUCCUUCCCAAAAUAAGACCAUUUAACUAUUUCCUGCUCUACUGCAGUAAAUAGUUAAAUUGUAUUGUAGUAACUGUACAUUUAAAUGCCAGUGUUAUCAUCUCUCUGCUUUUGUUACUGCAGCGUUCCCAGGGGGAAGUGGCCAGACAGUGGGUGUGUGAGUGUAGAGUUGGCAAGGAGUGUUUGUCUGUAGCAGUAGAUGGUACAAGGGGAAAUAAUUGUUUGUGUGGCAUUCACUCAAACCCCAUCUGGUCAAGGAAGAAACGGCAUAUUCUCCUUAGUGCUGCUCUCUCCACACCUUUAUGUCAGACCACUUCUGUGCCAGGGUCUGCCAGCUCAGUACUCAUUAUCCACGUAAGGGAGAGGUAAGAAAAAUUGUUGUCCUAUUUUGUCUUUUAUUUUAUUUUAUUUUUUGAAUGAGAAAAGUGAUUUAUGGAGCAAUAUGAACUGACCAAGUAAAAGCUGCAGAAGAAACAGAGCAGUGCUCAGUGUUUGCUGGCUUCUAGUACAUUGUUGCAUCAGCUAGACAAACUUCCAUAUGUCUUAUCUCUUUCUAUUUUGCUAGCAAACAGCACAAAGCCAAUCAGUGCUGCUGCCUUCCCUGGGCACCAGGGCAGCCACAUGUUCUGCCUUAUGGCAACAUCCUCCAGCAGCUUCCAUAUCCAGCAGGGCUGGGAAUUGCUCUGUGGUGGUCCUGUCUCUUCGAAGAAGGAUUUCUCAGGAAGGGCAGAAUGAUGUUCAGACUGACAGCUUCUUGUACUCGAUGCCUUGUCUUCUCUGCUGGAUCUCUUGCUGUGAAUACCUCGUUCAUGUCAGUUGUGUGGAGGGAAGAAUUAUGAGUUUCCCUUUUCCUAUCACUUAUUUAGUACCCGUUUUGCUCUCCCUUGUCUUACCUACUUAGGUUGUGCUUACGGAGCAGGGAUAUGAGUGUUAGCUUUAGAUGAAUUAGCUCAGCUGUCCUUUUACUUCACUGAAACCUGUACUGUAAACAUAGCAGACUGCAGGCUCUGGGAGAGGGGGAAUUAUUUACGGCCUUGUUUUUACAUUGUUUAGUAGAGCAGGGCCCAAACAGGAGAGGCUCUGGAUGUGACCAUCAUGCAGAUCGUUUCAUGGUGACCCAGCGGGAGAACCAAGGCCAGACUCAGAGGUUAGCAGUUCAUAACGGGUAAAGAGAAGUUUAAAUUUCUGAAUUAUAAAGUUGUAAAAAAGAUUCAAAGGGAAGUAAGGGCAUCCUCAGCCCACUCUUUGAUAGUACAAUACAUAAAAACCAGAUUUUGUAGGAGUAUAAUAAAAGAUUGUAUAGGAGUAUAAUAAAACCCAGACACAAGUCUGAAAAAUUCAUUAGUUUCUGCCAUGACUAAAAUAAGCACUGUCUAUGAAAACUACUUUGCAAUGGUAAUGAAAAGCAAGUGGAAAAGCAAGUGUUAGCACCAGUGCUGUGACGUGAAAUAAUUUCUGUAUACUCAGAUCUGUCAUUGUGAACAAUGUUGUUGAUUAUAAACUACAUCAAAUUCUCAGUCUCCCCCAAAACAUGUAUUUUAUUUUGCAGUUUUUGUGGUAAUUAUGAAAUCAACAGAAUACUAUCUAGUUUUACCACAAUUAAGCUAAAUACAUACUUUUAGAUGAUGUAAAAAAUACUUGGUAAUGGUAAUGUCUCCAUCACAGUAACUUCCACCCUAGAACAAGCGACAAUGUUUCUUAUGCGUUUUUAGGGGUGGCAUUUAAUGAUAAUGGUGAUUUUCAGCUUUCCCAAGAGUUUUACAAUUUAGCAGGUACUUGGAUGCAAUUUAUAAUCAAGAUUUGACCUGCAGAGCUUCAUUUAUUGUUACUCGAUAAGAGAAGCCUCCAAGAUUUGAAUGAAUCUCGUGGCCCUUUCAGCGUGCAUGAGUAUGAUGGAAGGGACGAUGACACAGACUUAUGGCACUGCAAGCAGCUCUCUGAAAACAGGUUUAUAUCCCAUCACUUGUGAGAUAGUGUUUGCUCGUAAAGCUGUUACCAUGUCAUUGUGCUGAAGACCUCUGGGCUCAAGGAAAUUGAGAUGCUUGUCCUAGGCACUCUGCGCAAGAGUGGCCGCGUGGUAUUUUGGUUCAACCACUGCUGCUUGCUCAGGACUGAAGGUCUGGGCAGGGUGUUGUGUCCAUGGUGGGCAUGGGGGCAACAGCGCAACAGCUAUAUGUCAGCACUGUUGUAGUUUUAGUUAGUGAUUGGUUACUGCUGGUCUGGCCACCACAACUGAGUGAAUGCUCCAAAGUAUUGUUUACAGAGACUGAGGUAAAGACCCUGACUGUUCAGAAGAAAAGGUAAGACAAGCUUUAACCACUAACUUUACAUUUAUAUUUAUUUCAGAAAAACAAAAAACAAUUAGAAAAAAGAAACACUGCAGUUUAAUAGAACCAGUGACACAAACAAAAUGUGGACUCGAGAACAGCAAGUGGCAACUAAGGUAAUGAUAGAACUGCUUCACAAAUAAUUCGCUGUUUAGAGCAUCUUACAGAGUGAGAUUGUAUCCUUUUGUUAUGCAAUAUAAAAUCAGAUAAGCAUUUGCUGUAACAAAAGUUAUUUACAGUCACAUAAUUUUGAACAACAAGCACAUGACCUUUGAAAUUAGAUUGGUUAAAGUUUUCCAAAAAGUUAAAAGUUAAAGUUUGCCUGGCUUGAGUCAGUGGGAGAUUCCCUUCAACUUCAGUGGGGCUGUUGAAAAUCCUACCCUUCGCUGAUUGUUUGUAGAUAGGGCUGAUGCUUCCUACCUCUUCUUAAAUAUGCUGUUUCAAUUCUAUUUGACCUUUCUUACCUGUAUGAUACCAUUUGACUGAGUAGUUUACUAUCUUAUUGAAUACUAACUUCAUCAUUUGCUUCAGUAAUUGCCUUUUUUAUAGGUUAGAUAUGGGCAAAGACCAGACAAAGCAGAAACAGAUCCCAUCUACUUCAAAUACUGUCUGGCUAGCCAUAGUCAUAAGCUAUGUUCAGUUAGUAUUCAGAAUACUGCUGACUCCUUUCCUAUACCUUCAUAAAAAAGUAUGUCAUAAGGAUAUUAUAGUGAUCGUAUUUAAAAUUAUUUUUCUGUAUUGAAAUAGAGUUGACAAGUAAAGGAGUUUAUACUGAAGAAUUUAAGGUUUGGGUUUUAUAAAUGUAAUGGCACCGUAUUUUUUAAUGUUAAGCUAUAUUUGUUAUAUAAGCUAUAUAAGUUGAUAUAUUUUGGAGCAAGUGAAAAUGUUUGAAUUCCUUUCAGAAUGUAAAAUUGUCGCCAGAGUUUUAAAAGCAGCUCUUUGCAGGCCCAACACCUGGAAAAUAAAACUUUGGGAAAAGUAAAGGAAAAGGAACAUCAGUCUUUCCUCAAAGACUUCUAAGCAACAGUAAAGAAAAGCAAAAACAUUUAGACUUUCACUUUUUUAAUGCAGUCUGAAAGCACAACAGCGUUCUAGUUUGUCGAUUUACAUUUGUCUGUUGCCUUUUCCUGCUACCAUCAGCACAGUUAGAUGGUAAGUGAAGUCCCUUGGGCGUGUUAUGGUGAAUAGAACCCUCAAAAACCUUUUAUUUUCUCUUCUCUUUACAAGACAGCGCAUUCUCUAUUCUCAAGAUCAUCUUCGUGAAAGUAUCCAUGGGAUGACUGCUGAAGAAACAAGAGGAACUAACAGAGAAAAGGUAAUUAUAAGAAAAAGUGAAUUGCUAGACAUAUGUGGAUGCAGAUUUAUUACACUGGAUGUGCAUUUUUCACUCUCUACGUGAGAUAGUUUCCUCAACUUAGCUACAAAGAAAACAUGGAAGGGAUUGAUUUUGUCUGUUAGAAGAUUUCUGCUUACACUGGACUCUGAGAUUAGUCUGUUGCUUUCCCUGGGUGGCUUCUUACUAUUGCCCUUCUACAUUGAGAGCUCCUCUGUCAUAUCUUGUGUGAUGUCCAGACACCUUCUCCAUAGAUCAAAGGUUGGCAGCCUGUUUUUUAAGCCUUUUUUUUUCCAAUUACUUGCAUGUACAACAGGUGCUGAGGCUCAUUUGUUUUGUUUGUUUCUACCAUUUUGACCCUUCAGUGUAAAUAUGGCUAAGGUUUUAAACCAACUAGAGCAGCACUGAGUGCAGCAUAAGUUAAUCUCCUUGAUUUUUUUCGACAUUCUGAAUGGAUUUUGUAGCUUGAACUGUGCUCUGUGCUUCUGAAGACAGACUGCUACCAUUGCUGGAUGUGACUGCUUUACACAGUGUUUGCCUACAGCCCCAUUACGCAGCACUCACAAACUGUUGUAGAGACACAGGCUAAGAAAUGGCAUACCAUGAGUACAAAUACCCACGGUUAGGGUUAACAGCCUUUUUGAAGAUGCAUUGACCAGUUCAGGGGAGCACUUUUCAGAGAUCUGCCUAAACAAGUUUUGUGAUAGAAUUUAAAAGAAAAAAAAAAAUCCAGCACCUCAAGUCUAUAGCACAAUACCCUUUUCCUGUCUGCUUAUCUUCCUUUCCAUUGGCAUGAAGUUAAAGUAGAAACCCAGGCUCAGUGUCAUACAGCUUAAUAAAUUUUAUAGAAGAUACUGUUCGAGAAAAAACUUACUGCGUCUUUUAGAUGAUUGACAAUUUAGGAAGUCAGAAUUUCAGGCUUUUAAGUCUUUCUCCAUUGAACAUAAUUAAACAUUAACCAAUUUUGCUAGUGUACCAUAAUUUUUAUAGGCUGCUUUAAAGCCCUGGUUUCUCUGCCAGGACAUAUGCUAGACAAGACUGCACUUUGCUUUGUUUGAAGAACCCAGGUACUGCAAGCCAAGGCUCCUGUGAUGAGUUUGUGCUCAUAAACACUGACCUGCUCACAAAGAGAAGGAAUAUUUGCCUGUUGCUUUCUGUAUUAAAAUACUAACUUGGACUACAGGAGCCUCCUUCUGCUCUGCCCCUCUCAAAGCUGGAUUUUUCUGUCCUGAGAGUCCCCAUUGAGUCAGAGCAGAGACCUGGCCUGCCACACCCAACACCGUAUCCAUCCCAUGUAUGCUGUUUCCAUCCUUUGUAGUACUUUUUAGAAACAGCAAAGACAGGAGAGAAAAAAAAGAAAAACAGAGUCUCGGUGGGAAUAGUCCAGCUGCUUCAGUUUUGACCGACAACUUAAACUAAGUGUAGAUGUCAGUAUGAGGGGUAAGCUAGUGAGAAAUCAGCCCAUAUGUGCUCUUAGUCACCUGUGAGCAGUAGGGGUAGGUCUUGAAAAGUUGACUUUAAAAGAUUAUAACCAUAAGAAUGUGAUGGGUCCAAUACAUUUGUAUUUAGUGUGACCACAUAACUGUAAAAUAAAGGAAAUUCCUAAAGGAAAUGUUUUUGUCACAUAAACACUGAGCCACAGCAAACACAUCUGGCAAAGCUGAAGAUCCAGCUCCCUAGACUGAGCAUCAGAAUACCAUAAAUAAUGUCAAGAGGCAGAAAUGGGGCUGUCAGAUACUGCUACUGUCAUUAUCCUAUUACACUGAAUAACCAUGAGCUUUACUUGUUUAUGGAAACUGUCAAUUGAUAUUUUAAUCUGUAAGUGAAGAAAACAUUACUAUUUUACUAUAUAAUCAUUGAAGCUAAUCUGUUUUCAGCAAGGUCAUUAUUUACACUACUUCCUUUGUAAUCCCUCACAUACACACACAGAAAAAGGCUCUGAAGCUUAAUCUUUCCAGUGCUGAAAAUGAGACUUUUAUGCAAACUGAUAAAAGUUCUUUGUUUGAUUUAUUUGUAAACCAAAAUAGUCUGGUAGUUUGCCUUGAAGUGAAAAGGAAAAAAAACAUGCUCUGUCAAAUCCCGUGCAUUCCUUUUUAUGUAUUUUGUCAUUUCCCCUCUAUUAACUCUGUCCUAAGGUAGAAAGAAGAGUCCACUCUAGCUUGUAUUUGCAUACUGUACUUUAGCUUUGACUUUCUAGGUUGAGCCUGUUAAAUUUAUUGACUGUAAGCCCCUUGAGCUAUUGAGGAGUGUGCAGCUUACAUUGUAUAUCUUUUGAAAGACGAUUCUGGUAGCCCGUUAUCUCUCCAGAUACAAUUUGUCUUACAUAUUCAUGGGUUUUUAGUGCCAGGACCAGUUCCUUCGUUGUAGCUAUUGUUUGGAAUUCUUGCACAGAUAUUAAGGCUUAGUAAUUUUUCAGUGCUGCUCAAGGGAUCCGAGUGUCAAAUGGAAUAACGAGUGGGAGUUUGGGCAGUGAAAACCCCUAAGCAGCUGGCUUUGGAGAUCUUGGUAAAACAAUAAAGGACAAUAAUCUGAGAUGGCAUGAAAGAAACUUUGAGGUGUCUAGGAUAUUUUGUAUGUACAAAUAGAGCUGGCCAGCAUGUAAUACUUUCCAUUCAUUAGCAAUUACAUUUCAUUUUAAUUUCAAGAUUUUAUGCCUGAACGUCAGAGAAAAUUUCAUUUGAGAAACAUCAGUGCAGGGACCUGGGAAAACAAAAUAUGUUCCCCUUCCUGCUACAGCUGUUUUUCUUAGCAGUAGAGCUGACCAGAAUAUUGAUUUCAUUAGGAAAGGGCUUAAGGUGGAAAGAUCUGUAUUCAGGUUAAAGUCAGGGAUUUCAAGUCCUCAGUUUCAUAGGUGACACCAAAAGCCAUGGUUGCCCUCUGGCACUUUGAGGCCUCUGGCUCCCAGGGCUCACCCACAGGGUCUCUCCAGAGUGCAGGAAUAUGAAGUUUCAGAUGCCAUGAUUCUGGCUUCCCAGUCCUUCCCCAUGCCCUGACAGAGCAGGAUGAUUCAGAGCCUGAAUGGCUGCUGUUCUGCAAGGCAGACAUUGAUGUGUCAGUCAAUACAGGCACAUUCUGCCUAGUUUUGGAGCUGACAAGGUUGGAUACCAUGAGCAGCACAGAUUUAAAAGUACAGAAGGCUGGGGACUGGGAAUCCUACCUAAGGACUUCCAGCUAUACGUAUCCCACCUGGUUAGCUUGAAAGUUAGCCAGAAUAUAUCUACAUCAGGAGCUAUCAUGCCAAAAUCUGUUGUGCAUCUGUGACAGAACUUGGGCUUCUAUUCAGAUCUUCUGCAUCCUGCUCCAGAUGUGAUUGCUCAUCAUUUGAUCUGAGAUAAAAAUAAGCAGCAGUGUACUUUCAUCUCCAGAAAGUGCAUACCAAAAGUCAAAUUCUCUUUCUGGGAAAGCUGUGAGAACAGCCCUGGAGCUGCAAGACACGAACUUCACCUGAAGUGAGGCACAGGUCAGGUCUCUGACUGCUGCAGUCGGUGUUCCAUGCCACACUGCAAGACUGGUGUCAGACUUCCAGGUAUUCUGCCCCGAUGCUCGUCUCUUCAGAAUCAGGUUUUGCAAGGAGCAUCCGUGGCUUCAACAGGUACAGAAAAAAAAAGAUAAUUCAGUCAAUGUUUCAUUAUGGCAAACACUGCUAAUUUUAUUUUGACUUUCUGUGGAAAAACACAGGGAUGUGAUGGUGUUCCCAUUUACAGGUUUAAAUCUUUCAUGGCACUAGCAUCAACAUGAGGGAGAUCUUCCCUUACAAGCAAGCUAGGGUUGCCCAAAACAUUUGUAAUGGCCUAAAAUGUGAACAAAGAAAGUCCCAUAUAAACACUGGGAAGAACUUCUUUACGAUAAGGCUGAUGGAGCACUGGAACAGGCUGCACAGAGGGGUGGUAGAAUCACUUUCUGUGGAGCUAUUCAAGACCUGUCUGGAUGCUUACCUGUGCUACCUAUUGCAGGGCACGUGCUCUAGAAGGGGGUUGGACUCGAUGAUUACCUCUUGAAGUCCCUUCCAAUCCCUGCAAUCCCGUGAUUCUGUGAUUUGCAAGGCAUUGGCUCACGUACAUAUCACCUUACAACUUUCACAAGCAGAGAAGUGGCAGCUCUUAACAAGGUUUAAAUUACAUUUACUCUCCAUAGAGAGGAUGUGUAGCAGAAGAGGGGUUUAUUUCUGACUUACAGUGUACAUGUCAAACAAAUACAAUUAUCUGAGUCAUUAUAGCCACCAUCAUCAUAAUUAGCUUAAGUGAAGCUGUUUUUAGCUUUCAUAUAGCCUCAAUUUGCUGCAAAGCAAAUCACCAAAAUAAAUCAAUAUUUUACAACCUAGCAAACACUGUAGAUUUUUACAAGCAAAAAUUAACAACAACAAUAAAGCGCAAAAAGCCGCAUGCAAAAAUUCAAACUCAACACGCUGUGCCUGGGCAUUUCUGAAUGCAGCACAACUCCUUGCCUGGUUUCCCUGAGCUCACUGUGACAGUUUCCAACACCAGACACUUUCAUUGAAGCAAACAGGAAACAUGUAAAACCAAAUAAAUAAUGACAUGAAAUGAAGCUUUGAUUAGGAGUCUGUGAAUAACGACCCUUUUCAACCAGUCAGUGUCUGAGACGUUUAACAUGCUUUACAUUCGGAAUGUAUCAAGCAAGUUCCACCGAUUAGAUUUUUAUAUUGAGAGGAACGCAUUUUAUUAGAGAGGGAGCUUGUCGGGGCUUGGUGCCAAUCGGCUUCAACUGGUUGUGCUGCAAACACAUCCAGCACCCUCAUCCUGAGGACUGCAAGAGGGAACAUGUUUCAUAUUUUCCUCUUUCCUGUUCUGCUCUACAAAUUCAUAAGAGGCAAACGCCAGUUCUCCCUUGGGUCCUAUAGGGAAAAAAAAAAGCCAAAAAAGCUUUUCCAUGUCAUGAGGAAUUCAUCCUUUUAUAAAGCUGAAAAUUGCUAUUAUGUUUGGAUGCAUUUGAACAAAAAUUACUGCAAUGAAGAAAGUAUUAAUUAGCUGCAUUUCUCAAGUGAUCACAGUAUUCAGUGCACUCAAAAAGUGGAAAAAAAGACAUUUUUUUGUAAGUUCAAUUAGAUUGUGAUUUUUGUUGCCAGCAGUAUGACAGGGUCUAAAAGCACAGCACUACUACGAAUAAAGAGAAAAUCUGCAGGUGAAUAUUUUAGAAUGAGCUUUGGGGCAGGGGAUAUCAAUUCCAGCUUCAGAAAGGGAUAAAACUUCCUCAUGUUUCACAGCAUGAGCCAAGUUUUUUUUGUUGUUGUUGUUGUUGUUUUUUUUGAUGAAUACUAGAAUGGCAUAUAAACUGCAGCUACUUAAUUCCACACUUACCAUAUGGAUUUCACAUUUCCUCUACGGCAUCUGGCUCUGGCUAGUGCCAGAGAUGGGUUACUGGGUGAGAUGAACACUACCCCUACCCUGUCCCUUCUGUGUGGGAGGGGUGUUUUUAUGUCUUCUGCAUAUUAUCCUUUGGUGUCCUUUGCAUAAAUAGAGAAGUAUUUGCUGCGAGGAACUUCUUAGAAUAAGUCUAGGAUAUUCUUAUGCUUAUGCUGAGGUCGCGUGGUAUCACUGUAAUCACUGUGCUUUUAGCAUGUCAUCAUUUCACAGACUAGCAGUGUGAGCUAUCGUGGUGUUUGUGCAUAUAGCAAUAAAAAGUGAUAUCUUAGAAUAAGGUACACUAUUUAAUUAAUUAUCAUAUGCACUAAAUGCUAAUAUCCAGAAAAAGGGUAGCUGCGUACAACUUCCUUCAGCCUGAAGUUGGAAUGUAACCACGGGUCAGAAACUGAAAAUUCCACUUGCAUUAAAAUUACACUUUGUCAUUAGAAAUGUUUAUAUUUCAUUAAAAAAAAAAUCUUUCAUGUUUCUCUAUUCUUUAGAGAAGAAAUAACUAUUGUAUUUGGUUUGGAAUGGAUGAACAUAAUCUCAAAUCUUUGUUUGCAUCACUGUGCAGCAUACCAUUUUCUCAAAUGAAAGCUCUCAGUAUUUGCAGAGCAGAUGGCAGAAGUGUGUGUGAUUACCUCACUGCUUCUUUGUACUGAGCAGAGAUGGAGGCGAAUUAGGGCCCAUCAGCAGGAGGGGUGUUUGUUUUCUUCCCCAGCAAACCAUCAAAGAAUCCCGGAGCACGUCUUAACUAUUGAGACUGAAAAUUGGGUGAAUUUUGUCUGCCUGAUUCUAGUAAAGACUUUUGUAUUACUUAUAGGGAAAUUCUUUCAGAAAAGUUGCUGGAAACGGUGAGCGCCGUAUAGGAGAUAAUACAGUAACCAAUCUUAGGCCUUUCGUGCACAUGGAAGCUUUAACUGAGUAGAACUGUGAGAAAAAAGCUGUGUUGACCAAAGCCCAGGUACAGAUGAAAUUAUACAAGCAAAAAAAACCCAUUUGCCAAUACUUUCUUUGUUUCCUGUUGAGACAUCUGUAUGAUGCUUUUGCCAAUGCAGCCACUUUCCACGCCAAAUUCCCAGCUUGUGCAGCUCUACCUGCAGCCAAACAUUCGGAACGCAAACAAGGCUAAAGAUGGCUAAGUCAGUAUUAUUUCACAUCUUGGAGCAUGAAAAUUUCAGGUUCCUUACUAUUCCUGUUCUGGGGGAGAAGCUGUACUGCAGGAGUUAGCUCCUGAUUCUGCAGUUUUGUGUUGGGCCUGUGACAUUAAGGCACAGCACCGAUUUCUGUCAGGUCACACAGCCUGAAGCUGAGCGAAGCAACAGUGAGCAUGAAGAAAGGAUGCAGCCAAAGCCACCUCUGUACCAGCAGGAGUCAUACGCAGAGCUAGCUGCUGUGCAAAGCUCAGCAAAGCCACAUUUGGUGUAUGUGAUAUCCGGCUCUGUGCUCCUUGUGAUCCAAGGCCUGGACCCCUGCAGAGGGAUUUCUGGCACAGGAGGUGACAUAAAAUGGUGCCGGCAGCCACUCUUUGUGUCUACCAAAGGUUAUGGGCAGCUCGACAUUUUCCAGCGUUAAAUGCCAGAAAUCUGUUCACUGGAAAAAUUUAGGCAGUGCUAAUUAAAAAGUGAUAGCUUAAUGCUUCCCAAGACUCUGUUUUGAAUUGUGGAGGUAUUAUCUGGCCUGUAGCAACAGCUCUAUCGUCUGUCACAGUUCACUGAGACAGUCAUUUCCAGUGGAAACACAUUGGUUUAGACAAAACUUUGCCAGAAAUGCAAUUUAAAGGGAGAGACGGGGAGGUGAAAAUAAACAAGAACUCAGUGGUAAUUGCUGCUCUUUUAGGAAGCUGAGCACCAGUUCAGGUCUGUAGUGGGACUUGCGCAGAGCAGGGAGGUGCGCCUGCAGCCACGCAUUCUGACCUUACUCCUUCCUACUGGGCUCUUUGUGGUUUUAGGAUGGUUCAUACUUCUCCCUCCAGUUGGUUUGGUUUGUGAGAUUUAUUGGCAAGUUCCUGAUAAGCUACAGGAGUAUUUUUAGUCUUUAGUAACUACUGUGUGCUGCCGUUGCACAGAGACAGCAUCAUUCGCAUGCUUUAUUAGACAUUUGCCUAUUCUCCAGCACUUCUGUGCUGUAAUGGAUAAUUUGGCGAGAUGCAUAACAAAAUUUGUUAGCUGCUUUUUGUGUGUGUGUGUGUGUCAAGCUGGAAGCUCCUGUUUGACAUCCAUUUCUGUGGAAUUAGCCAAGUGGGGCAGCAAACAGAUUUGGUAUUUCUGCUCAUUGUAGCAUGGAAGGCAAAGGUUAUCACCACCACAGGACACAAGGAGGGGCGGGCACUCCUCUGGGCUGUCUCUGGAGCUGUGCUGAUGGUGUCUGGUGAAGCAGAUCUGCUGCAAAUUACAGCAUGUGGUUAUGCAUCAAUUUACGCUCCCGCCUGUUGCCAACAACGUGCUGUGCAUGAAUGGAGCUAACUUGGUAAAUAUGCUCUCUAGUAACUGAAAAUAACCAAGUGCUGUUGAAAGGAAUAAUUAAUCAAUGUUUGCAAAGCAUUUAGAAACUGAAAACCAUGGUAUUAGUGCUAAGUGUUCAGGGCUUUAGCUUUCCCAUCAGAAGUCUCAGUUUUUCUCUUUGUUAGUCUUUAACCAAACAAAACAUUAAGAGUGCAAAGUCUUUUUGUCUAAUGUCCCCAGUCAGGUGGUUUUGUGCUCGGCAGUUGUUAAAAUGCAGUAAGUAGACCAGAAGAAACUAUAAAUGGGGUGAAUCAGCUCAUUUCUACUGAUGCUGGCAGAAAUGAGUUGACUUAUGUUAGCUGGAGAUCAACAGCAGGCUCUGUAACACAAUUUCCUCCACUUGCCUAUUGGGCUCAGCCAGCCAGAACCAGUAACUGGCUUAUUCCCUGCAGCUCCCACCUCUCUGAACCCAGGUGCCAGGGAUGGAUACAACACUGUGUUAGGGCACAGGCUUCCCUGCACAGCGAGGCAGACAAAUUGUAUGGCUCAGAGCUGCUAUCUGAGGCAGCCAGCAUGCUCGAUGAACAGCCCAGUGAUACCCGUGAGCAGAAAUCCCAUUUAUCAGCUGUGCUGUGCAGAGAGGUGGCACUGAUGUCUGACCCCUGGCUCGAGAACUCAGGGGAACAAGGAAGCAUCUGUGUCUUUCCUUCCAAAGUGCCUUGGCUCCCUCACAAACAAGUCUUCAUGAAGCUGCAGUCCCCAGCAGAAUGGUGGUUUUACCUGGGAAGCCAAAAGGGCUGUAAGCUACUCAGCAGGAACCAUUUGGGGGUGAGGUGAGGGAUGAGGUUAUGCACUUAGACGGCCCCAGCCAGUCCCCCAUGCCCAUAUCUCUGUGUGCGCAACUGCUCCCUUCUCUGUUCUGAAGGCUAAUCUGUACCUCCAGACGUUUACAGUCAAUAUUCUUAUCUGCCUAGCGUGGUGUUAAUCUGUAUUUCAGAGAGGGAUGAGUGGGAAGACAGUCUUGUUGAAAACAGGGCACUGUGCAGAAGGCAGUUUAAGGCUAAUUGGAUGGAAAAAGCAUUGCACUGGUCCUUCAGAGCAUCUCUUUUUAGGGUUAUUGUAUGACUUUCCAACACAAGCUCCCUUUCUCCAGCCAGGAACUUUGUCAGACUAAGUCUGAUGAUGUUGAGCAUCUGUUCCACGCUCAGGACUAUCCAGCAGCUCACGCUGAGCUUCCAGAUUAAUGUAAAUCCAGACGAUGUGCCCACUUCAGCUGUGCAGUGCACGAGCACUGUGCCCAAGUAUACAUCACAUGAUGUCCCAGAACUGUUCCUAUGAAUGUGUUGAUGUAAAAAUAACUGAUUAUUCAGAUGCUAGUGGAAUUUUCAAGACAAACAGGGAGGCCCAUGUGCAUUUUAAGUACUUCCCAAGUAAAACAGCAGUUCAGCACAGGUAGGGAAGGAAAAAGGAUUACAUAUUUAGAUUAAGGUAUCUCAAUGUAUUUUUUGGAUCUUGCCUUUUUUGGAUCUGCUCAGUGCUGGUCUGACUCAUCUCUUAGGUGUUUCUACUCACAGGAGAUCAGUGACUUUGCUGCUGCUGGAUUGACUGGCAGAGUAAGGACAGUUACCUGCCAAGUAAAUCCAGUUAUUCAGCCCUUGCUGGUCCCAAAUAGAGCUCUGUGGCCUAUAAAGGGUCACAUUAAUUAAAAUAAGCCAUCAGAACAGCAGACGUGCUGGGUAUUCACCUCCGCACCAGCCCAGGGCAGAGCAUGUUCAGCUCACUUCAGCAGCAGUGCCACAAAAUCUCUUCAUGACGUUUUUGACAGAGCUAAGUAUUACCAAGAUUUUUUAAUAGUUACCUUUGUAAUUAGCCAUUUUAAAUUCAUUUACUGAAAAUGAGAGGGGCUGGAAUCCUCACGUGUCUUCCUUGCUCCUAUCUUUGCUCGAGUUCACCAUAGAGAGCUUAGUGCAAAAUCCAUAAAGAACCAAAAAAGUGCAUAUUUGAAAGAGCAAUUCAAGCAUAUGUAGAAUGUUCCUGGCUACAUGUAAUUGCAGGCAAGUACUGACAUUUCUGCUGUUCUGGACAAAUGUAUUUAUUUAUUACUUUAUUAACCCACCUCUUCUCUUCAGCAUGUGUUUCUUCUUCUCUCAUUUCCUAAUAUUCCCUGAGUAUUAUUUACCUGAUUUGCAUGACAUACAUGACAAUUGCUUGGGUAGAUCAAACCAAUGACACCACAGUGUUACAAAGAACUAGACGGGGUGUUGUAGUGCUUUUUGGAAGGGCAGAACUUUCCUUUCUUACUGGUACUACUUCCUCAAGUCAGCAGUGCUAUGAGAACUGUACUCCUCAAUUCCACAGCCAACACUGAUAUUCUGAGACAAACAUUCACCAUUCUUUGCUGCUCUGAGUAUUCUCUCACCCCAGAGAGGAAUGAUUUUAUUAAUUUAAACAGGAAGAAAUAUGUACAAAAAUGACCCAAAGUCUGAUAUAUACCUGUUGGUAUUGACUAAAUCCUUAUCCUGUGAGGGCAGUGUCAAGGCACCUAUUGAUUGUUCCUGAGUAAAUAUCUUGUUGAAGUGGCACUGUCUGUGAAAUUGAAUUACAUAAAUUUUAAUGCCUACAAUAAAAGUUCAUCAGAACUAGCACAGAAACUUCUCUACUUAACUGGAGGUUGACUCAGUUUAUGAAAUGGAGCGAUUUAUCUCCCAAUGGAUCAUGAUACAGGUAUCCAAGUGAACCAUCAGUAAUAAAUAUGGUAUUUCCUCUGUAGUGAUCUGAACAGUGAAUAAAGACUUAAUUUGCAAGUAUUUUCAGAAAUUGGGGGAAAACACAGCGAGUUCCCAAGGGUGCAAGUGGACUCGUUUGUAUUUAUAAGUAAGUCAACAUCAAGCUGAUGUGAUUAAACAGUUACUCUGUCAGUGACUUGGCCCUGUUCUUUUCUCCAUCUGGUAGGCAGGCAGGCAGAUUAAAUUUAUGCUGUGUGUUUAUUUUCUUGAAAUAAAAUGAGUUUUGUUUAUAUUUCGAGGCAGUAUGAUGUGGUAACAAAUGUACCAAAUAUAUUAACUUCAAAAAAAAAAGGAAAAAGAAAAGAGGAUUUAGACAAAAAAGAAGACGUGCCUCCCAAGGCACCAUACUUUAUUUAAAGGAAAUGGAAACACACCAUUUUUUUUUUAAAUGCUCAUUUACAGACUUUAAAGAAAAUUAAAUUUAUAGUUUAGCCUCUGAGUUCUGGAACUACCAGUUGUUUCCUGAAAGUGACUUUGUAAUGAGUUUUGGGAAAUCAUUUUAGUAUUGACUUGGGCUGUAAUGGUUGGCUGUUGCUUUUUUGAAUAAGAUUAAUUAAAUUACUCUGAACGAGCUCCAAGUCCAUGCCCUUCUCUGAGGCCAAUUGUGAAUAUGACCAUAAUAAACUCUUAAAAAGUAUUUCAGAAAGUAAAUAAUCUCCAAACCUGGAAGUAUGUCAUUGUGCUCUGGUAAGAAUAACAAACAGCAUUUGCUUCCUUGUUUCAACAUACAUCACUUUGCUUUCGUACCUUGCACUUUCCUCAGUUGUAAGAAGUGAGGGUUAUUUUUGUUUGGUUAAUUUUCUGUACAACAGCAGGAGAUAAUUUUGACUGCAUCUUAAAGAAAGAACCAGAUAAGAAGUAAGUGCAUAGGCACAAAUAAGAGCUGGCAGUUGUACUUCUGAUUUCAACUCUGAAAUGUAGGACUCCUCUUAGUUAUUCAUACUUCGGUAAGCUCAAAUAAAAUACGGACCACAUUAUAUCAGUCUCAAUAAAAACAUACGGAAGUGAAUGCUCUUAAUUUAUAGAAGCUUUGAAAAUCAAUGCCAAAUAUGCAAAGAUUCCAUAAACAGAGAGGUGAAAGGACUUAUCCAAAGCUCCUUUAUGUGCCUGGGCUGAUGACAGUUGACACCAGGUCUUCAGAGCGCCAUGCCAGCGUCCGGUCCAGCGAACACUGCUGCUGCUUGGUAAGCUGGACUGAGAUAUCUCCCCAGAUGCUGCUCUGAUUUUCCACAGAAAUGGUAAGUACUUGGAAAAAUAAGAUAAAAAAAAAGUAAAACAUACCCCAAGGGAAGCCACCAAAAAAUGAUGGGUGUAUGUCUCCCAUAGAACCAUGGGCAAGGUAGACAACAAGAACUGGUGAAAGAAUAGAAGCAAAAGGAAAGAAAACAGUAGAAGUUUGUGGAGUAAUUUAGUAUGAGCAGCUGCACAAAGUAUCUUAACAGCGACAGACCAUCUGCAGUCCCAGUACAGAGAAAGAUCAACAGCUUGUGUGGUAUGAGCUUCCAAAGGAGAGUCUGCUGCACUUCUCAAAUCUCCUGUGAGUUCUCUGAGAUGGAGUAGGUGAGCUGGGAGCACAGCACUCCUGAGAAAAUUUGGUUCUGUAAGGAUGGAGGUUGCUAGGGAGCAAAGCCCUCUUAUGCCAUAAGGAAGGAUUUCUGUUUCCUUGGCAUUACUUUCCUUGCUAGGAAGUCCUGCUCUCAUUCUUUAGGCCAAAAGAUCUGGGCAAGGCUGGUUUGAUGGGCAGAUGAGGGUGGCUGGCAAAGGCUGUGAAUUUUUCUUCUUCCUUGUUCUUAAGUGUCCUUAACCCGUGCUGACAAGAGUAAAAUAGAGACUUGGAGGUCUUAAAUAAACAGGAAUCUUGCAGGGUACAGGUUAAACUAACACUGACAGAGCCAGUAGCUGCAACAAUUUGUAAUUAUAUCCAUGAUCCCAGUGCUCUCUUUCUCAAGGCAAAAAGAUUUGGGUACCAACUUAUGGAGUGAAAUGUCAGUGUUCCCUGCAUUCCCUGCUCCACUGGUGUUCCUCUUUAGGUCUUUAGAAAGAGAACUACUUUGCUCCUAAAACUGAUUAAAGCAUGAAGGAUGAUCUGGUUGAGUGAAUGUGGUAAGAAAUGGCAACCUGUGUCAAAGUUUUUUUGCUCUUAUUUAGUUUAUAUAUUUGUGAUGUUUUUCUACUUUUGGUAGAGAUAAAAGAUUUAUAUUUCAAUGCCUCAAAUUUGAGCUCUAAUACUAUUUUUUACCUUCUACUCUUCUUUUUUCUCUUUAAUUUCUGGUAUUGUUGAGCUUUGGAAAAGAAGAAAUGUUCUCCUGGUAUAUGUACUGGUUUACUUUGUAUUAAUUUGAUUACAUUACUGAUAAACUGAAUUUACUGCUAGUCCACAAACAUGGUGGAUAUGAAUGCUUGCUUCUCACUGGUUUUCUUGAUGGAAUUUUAACCAUGUUUUGCUACAAAUGGAAUCUCAGUUAAAGGAGUAAUUAGUACUUCUGUCUGUUGAAAAUAAUAUUUUAAAUAGCUGUAGUUAAUCCUAAGAAUUGGAGAAUACUCCUUCAUGUAUUAACGUGUUAUUUUAUAUGUUUAUAUAUAUAUAUAUAUGUUAUAUAUACCUAUUUUAUAUGUUAUACAUAUUAUAUAUGUUAUAAUAGCUAAAAUCAUAUUAUUCUCCAAUAAUCCCUGCUUGGUGGGAUGGCAUUCAAGCUCUGAGUGGUGCUGACACCUCUUACACCUCUAAGAAUGGAAAACAAAGCAGUCACUUGAGCUCUUUAUUUAUCAGCCAGUAUCUCACUGCAUGUAAUUUGUCUGGUUUUUUAGCAAAGGAAGUAGGACUGCAGUCUACCUGAAAAGCUGAUGUCCUAAAUGACUGAUGUAGAAGCAGGUAAGCAUAAAAGAAUACUGGAUACAGGACCCCAAACCUCCAGUAGACCAAGAGAAAGAAGUUUAAACCCUUGCAAAUACUGGGCCAAAUACAGCCAUAUCACAGGCUAAGUCAAGUCUACACAUGCCAUUGGACACAGCUAAGAAGAAAAUGAGCUUCAGCCACUGUGCCUUUCCUCCGUUCUCUGAAAGGGCAGAGGUUCUGGCAGACAGAACUUUUAGCAGAUUCAAGAGGGCGAAUUUGACAACAAUUCACAGUGAGUAGACGCACAUUAAAGCAAAGGAAAUUUGUUUGCUUUAGGUAAAGAGUGGACAGUUUCACUGCUAGUGCUGAGGACAAGUUGUAUUCAGAAAACAGCCUCGUUUCCUUUGCCUUGUGUCUUGUGCAGAGGCUGCUUGCUGUACAUGGACUGUGAAGUUUAUGGCUAUGGGGAUUUUAGAACUAGAAGCAUCUCUGACAACCCAGUUGCAUUGUUUUUUUCUCUAUUUUAACAGCAGAUCUUUUUCAGUAGGCGGUGUGAAAAGAAUUGUUUUCAAUUAUUCUUGGCUACAUUUUUUCCCACAGAUUCUGACUUAAUUAGACUCAUUAACAAGACCAAGCAACAUAUUGUCUGUGGGAAAAGAUUUCAGAUGAGAGAAGACUGUUAUACCAUUUUAUUCAAAUCCUUCUGCCAGGAAAAAGCAACUUGACCAAAACAGGGAGGCUUCCAAGAAGUGGCUGCAUUGCUCCUGAAGCUGUUUUUGGAGAGAACAGGGUUUAUUUUUGCCAAAAAAAUGUAACUGUUUUUGUUGAAAAUAUCUGCUUUGCUUUCUAAAAUGUACUUUGUCCACAAAUAUUGCUAUCGGUAGGUCAACUCACAGUGAUCCCACUAGGAAAGACAGAUGCUUCAAGAUUAAUUCUUCAGAUGUAUUUUUUUGCUUAGUGGGGACCCAUAUGGAUGUAGAGACAGUGCACUGGGCGGUAUCCUUUCCUCAGCGCCUGUGCCUGCUAUGGGAGGCCACCCAGCUCUGUCACAGUGGGGAGAAGACAGAAAAGCAAAAAGAACAGAGGAGAGGAAAAAGGAUAGAUAUAGAAAAUUAAUGCUCGGGAGAGGGAUUGCUAGUUCUUUAGGGGAUUUCCAGCACACAGUCUAUGGAAAAUUUUUAUCCACAUCCAAACUGGUCAGAAAUUUCUUUCAGGAACUGCCAUCACUAACCCUGAGGCAGCUGGCAGCUGCAGCACUCUUCAGGCUGCACCAGAGAUAAGGAACCCAAACUACACAUGGACCCUUAAGUGGAGGAAGGAGGGACUUGCAGAGGGCUCCCAGACAGCAGAAUACAGAGGACAGUAGCAAACUUCAUGUACCAAUGGGCAGUGACUGUUGGUGCCCAUCCAGUUCUUUGGAUGUAUUAUACAUGGAACUGCUGUUAACAUAUAAGCAGCCACUGCUAAAUUAUAACCUUAAAGACGAUGGGAUUUCACCAGUGUCAGCAUCUGUUGUUCAUAAAGGAAUUGGGAAAUGGCCCAGCGUCACAUCCAGCUCUGAUCAUGAACAAAUACACUUUGACUUGGACAUGACCUGAUAUUCAAACUAGCAGUAGAUGGAAAAGAAGACAAACAGUUUUUUCAUGAGUUUCAAACACACCUUAAGCAGCUCCGGGACCUUCCAUCAAGAUAACUUGAUAAACCUUGUACGUUUACCUACCUUGACAGUUGUUCAGAUGUCAUGCUAUUUUGGUUUUAGAUUAUUUAAACUAAUGCCUGCUGUCCCACAAGAUACAGGUGAUUGCAAAGGCAGAAAGGUCACCUAAUGAAGCCUGAACUGACCUAGGAAUAUGGGCUUGGCUCCAUUCCCUGCAGUAAAAUUUCAGUGCAGAAGAUCAAAUGUGAGAUUCACCUACCUCUGAGCACAGACGUGUUCCAGGACAAAGUUUGGCAUGCAGGCCCUUCUACUCAGGCAGAACAGUACACGACAAAUGUAUCACUGCACAGUGACAUCCAAGCAGCAUGCCACAAGGUCAGAGCCUGGGUCAUAAUUCACCCUAUUAUAUCUGUUUAAUCCAUUCCUUAUUCAUCUUACUACAUGUAUUUCCUACUGAUUAUAUACCUUGUCAUGCAUCUCCAACUGACUUUUAAUCUCCAUGAUUUAAUCUUCAUUAUGGAGUCACCGGGUAUGACCAAGUUUUACUUAUUAGCAAAAACAUUAUGUAUUUUUUGAUGUUCUAAUUGGAAUAUUUCCAAUCUGAAUAUCCUCACUGUGCUCUCUCUCAGGUGUCUGUGUCACCUCCAGUACUCUCAUGGACUGCACACAUUCUGCUCAUUAAUCUACAUACCAUCACUUCUGGUGCAAAGCAAUCAUACUUAGGCUUUCUGAAAGCAGUAUAACAAUAUUUCAGCCUAUAAGCCAAUCCAGGUACUCAGACAGAAAAUACAUCUAGUCAGUUGUGUUUACAUAAAGACAUUUAUAGGGUAUGUUAUCACGAUAGUCUAUUACUUAGUAGAGCUGGUUGCAAAGUAAGAGAAAUACUACUUAUUACUGUAGUUUAGACUCUAGAAGCCUUCUUUUAAUGGUUACAUAAUACCAAAAGCUCGCCCUUGGAUCUCCUGCUUGCUGGAAAACCUGAUUUCUUGUAUUUUUUUAAUCAGAGAACAAGGAGUUGUCUCAAACGAAAAAGAAACCAAAACAAAAAAAUAUUUUCAUUUAAAAAUUACUUUUUUUCCAUUUGUUCAAGUAAAUAUUAACUGCAGCAGAUAUCCACAGCCCUCUUGAAAAGGUAAAACUUCCUAAGGCUUCUAGAAAUGCACAGCUAGACAGAGAAAGUGAGCUAACAGCCUCAUUGUUAUUAAUAAAAUAAGCCUGGUGAUACAUAGCAGUAUCAUUUGGUCACCAUGGCCCCCUCUAGCCCUACCCAAAGCUGAAACAGAAAGAAUAUCCCACCUGUGUUACAUUAACCUAGUUUCCAAUUAAAAGACUGAAAUAUUGUAGGUUUUUCAUCUCUGUGAUUUUAUCUGUAGCAAAUAAAUGAUCCAAGUGCAAGGACAAAGAGAUUUAAAGGAAGGUUAUUUACUCAAAGAGCUCUCCAAUUUCCUGAUGGCAGAAUUCACUGGGAAAAAAAACAACACAACUUACACCUGAGGAACUGUAGCUGAAAUUGCAGAUAGCCACUAGAGAGAGAGAGAAAAAAAAGGCUUCUUUAAAAACCAGUAACACCGCUAUUAUUGCAAUUCUGACUGUCAAGAAGUAAUUGCAAAUUGUUCUUGUGCCUGGACCUCCACUUGCAGAUCACAGACUGACUAUAAUAAGAAAUUAUCCCUUAAAAAGAAGGAGCCCCAGAGGAGUAGCAAAGACCAGCAUAAAAUAGGCCACAAAAAUCCUAACCAUUGAAUUUGAAGCACUAACAUACAAAAAAGAAAUGCAAGAUCACUUAGAUAUAACUUGGCCAAAACCUGCAGCAGGGAGAGCAGCCAGAAGACAUUUGAAGGAUGCGUUUGCAUGGGAAAUUCUUAGGGCUGAAGUACACAGAAAAGAACUAUUAAGGGGUGGGUAAGUAGGACUGAUGAAAUCAAAGGAAAAUGAAAGAAAAUGAUUUGACAGCAAUUGCGUGCUGUAUGGUUGCUGUGCUGUAUUUUCCCACGGGAAACAGUCAAAUGUGUUUCACUGGAAACAUUAAAAAACAACGCAGGCUGGACAGAAGCACGGAGAGAGUGCAGUAGUCAGAGAUGGGACUGGAGAGCAUUUCCACUCCUGAAUUACCUAUUUCCUGGCUGCCGUUUUAUUGUGAUUCAUUGUUUUUCCUUCUGGAACCAAUAACCUCCCACACAACAACCCCAAUCAAUAGUGACAUUUGCCAUGCACAAACCUGUUUAGAGGACUGACCCCAACUUACCUACUGGUCGGUGUCAUUCAACACUGACGUUUAUGUGCAGAGUCCGCCUCUGCAAAGAACCAGCACCUGACUUUAUACAAAUACACACAGCCUAGGAAAUAAGUAGGAUGAGUUGGAAAUUUGGAAAGUUAUGACCUUGUUGCUAUCAUGGGAGUCUGGGAUGACUCCAUAACUGGAAUACCACCAUUGAGGGGCCUCGGCUCUUUAGAAGGGAUAGGCAAGGUAGAAGGGUGGGGGAGUUGUCCUCUUGUCAAAGAGUGGAUAGACUGUGAGGAGCUCCCUCUGAGAAACAGUCAGGAACAGGUUGAGAGCCUGUGGGUUAAAACUAGGGAUAGGACUCAUAAAGGCCAGCUGGUGAUAGGGAUAUAUAUACUACAGGCCACCUGAUCAAGGGGAGACGUUGACAAGGCCUUCUUGCUUCAGAUGCAGGAGACAUUGUGCUCACAGACUCUCGUCCUGGUGAGGGACUUCAACCAUCCAGAUAUCUGAUGGAGAGACCACACAGCGAGUUCCAAGAGGUCCAGGAGGCUCCUGGAAUCCAUUGAUGAUAACUUUCUGGUUCAGGUAUUGGACAGACCAACCAGGAGUGAAGUGUUGCUGGACCUGCUGCUCACCAAUGCAGAGAUGAUCAUUACAGGUGUUAAGGUGGGAGGCAGCCUGGGCUGCAGUGACCACGCUGUGGCCGAGUUCAUGAUCUCGAGGAAUGCGGGCCUGGCAAACAGUGGGGUCAGGACCCUGAACUUCAGAAGAGCGAACUUUAAGCUGCUGAAGGAAUUUUUGGCCAAGAUCCCACUCUACUGGGUCCCUUCCAACUCAGGCCAUUCUGUGACUCUGUGAAAAAAAAUAAUAACUUUUUUUUUCUUUCCUCAAAGCAAGCUUCUACUUAAAAAAACUGCAUGCCCAGUUAUGUAAAAGUGAGAGAAAGUCUCAGGGCCCUACAGAUACCAUGUUGAGAACUGUUGAGUCAUGGCCUGAACCACUCAUUGAGCACCUGGGGAAAGGACCUGGUCAGCCCUGGGAGCACAGGUGAAGGCAAUUCAGCUGUGCGACCAGAAGGGGUGGAGCCUGGCUGCACCUCUCUUAGACCUCAUUUAAGGGCUGACUGCCACUGGGGAAGGAUCUCUGGUUGGAGAUGCCUCCCUUGUGGUGUUUUCCCAGUGAGCCUGGAUCAUCAGAGAUGGGUGAGUGUUUUUCCUUUCCUAUCACGCUACUCUCUUUGUCAUUAAACCUCCUGUAUCACCAUUCCACCACGCUGAUCUUUCUGAUUGUUACACUGUAGAAAGAGGCUCUCCUUACAGCCACUGGAUCCAGCCUGGCAGGGCAGAGCUCCUCCAGCAUCACCAGUGUGUGUGGAUAGAAAAACCUGGGCAGGAGAGACGCACCUUUGUUUGAUGCCUCACUGUUGUAUUUGGCCAGUCUAAUUCACAGUAACCUAUCUGACUGGUAGGGCCAGAGGUGUGAACUGCAGCAAAAGCUGCUUCGAUUGGAGAGGUAAAAAGCUAAUCCUAGCCCAAACCUCUGUUCCUGUGAUGAGCCAUGAACACCUGCUCAGCAGCAAGUGAACUCCUACAAAGUUCACUGAUUUCUCCAGGCUUUGGCGUGCAUUUCUGUAGCUGAUAAGCAGAAAUUUUCUCUCUAGAUGUUUGCCUGUUCAAACCACAAAGACACGGCAAGGUGAAAAGCUAUAGUUUCAAUUACGUUUUUUAAAUUGCACAUGUGUAAGAGAGGGAGCAAAUAAAAUAGACAGAACUGUUGCUAUUCGGAAGGCACCCUGAGAACCAGGAAGUUGCUGUAAGAUGAAAUGCGACAGGGAUUCCCUGGAGGGCCCUACAGGAGGCUGGAAGGAGGGGAUUGGUUUUUUACCCACCACAUCUGAAACUGAGAAUCUCAGGCAGCAAAGGAACGGCGUUUGCUUAAAAACAGGUAAAUUAUUUAUUCUCAGUUCAUCUAAGAAAGGAACUAGAGAACUAUUUAGAGUACAGAGGAACAUAUAGUACUUGCUUACCUAACGAAAAGGUGUGAAAUGUGAGAGGUGAAAUUGUUAGAGAAGCUUAUAUCAUACUGCAGCCUUUUGCUGUCUUGUUAAUACCUGCUACAGUUGUACAAUGCAUUUAUGAAUAGAUGCUUGAAUUCAGAUAUCCUGCUAGUCAGUUUUUCUUACCAGAAAACACACACCUCAGAAAACAUUCAUCUAUGUGACAGGUAGCAUUUCACCCAUAUAAGAUGUUCAUGUUAUUUAGCUAACAGUACUGUAGGUGGAAUUACAGUACGGAUUCAUUACAGGUACACCCGUACAUGUGAUGCAACAUUUGGUCUAACAGUGGUCAACCCAGGGGAAGAAUAAGACCAAAGCCCUACUUGACAAGUGGUGUCCUGGCACGGAGGUCUCAGGAACCUCUGCUCUGAGCCUCAAGCUGGAUGGCCUCUCGCGAUCCUCUCUCCCUCUGAGCUUGGAAAACGAGACGUGGAACAGAAUCUCCUGCUGUUUUGGUCUUAUAACGAGAUGGGAAGCAGUUCCUGCUUAACAUCAGAAACAAUAUUUAGUGACUUCUACAAAUGUACCUGAUACAUACACACUAAUGCUUCAUAGGACUGAUUCCAGUGACCUUGGCAACCUUUUGUUCAGCUGAUAGUUUAAGUAAUGUUUUUGCUUAGUUGCUGUUUUGCUUAAGACCUUAAUUCUUGCAAGAAACAACUUUGUGCUGCACCAUUCCCACGUGGAUGGAGAAAUGCAUGAAUUUUUCUUAACAUGACUUGACAGUGAAUUUAUUUCAUUGUGUCUGUUUUGACCUGAGCAACUAUUUUUAUUUCCUGUCCAUCUGAGUUACUACUUGAUUUGCUGAAAGCUAAGGAACCAGAGCUGUGAGAUUAAGAUUUCAAAAAUACAUGCUUUUGGAGAAGUUAUUUGGCUGAAACAAAUGCCCUGUGUUGGUCUGUCAGAGCCACGUGUCCUGUCCCUCUGAGCUAAGCUGUAUCGGAAGGCAAGACAGUCACUGCUGAAUGCUGCUUCAUUGAAAGUACAAGUAUUUUAAAAGUAUCCAAGUACUUCAAAUGGAAUUUCUAAUGCUCAAUACUUUGAGUUAAUAAAAAAAAAACUUCUAAAAACUUUGUUUUUCUUUGCUUUUCUUUUUCUUUUUUUCCUCUAAGCUUUUUCCUUUCCUUCAGCAGUUUGUUAAAAUGAUAUAGUAGUUCCUCAGAGCUUGACUGACUUCCGUGGGUUCCUGGCAAUGGAAUCACUUGAGCUUCUAGACUUGUAAUUUAGAGCAUGAAAAGAGCCACAUCAGGGCUGGUCAACACCAUUAGCCACUCUCCAGUAGUGACAAAUAGCAUAUCCUGGGGAAAAAUGUAAGAAUGAGACUUGGAGACCGAGGCAGAGAUUAUAUCUUCAAAGUCCAUGAUGGAUUCUUUUUUUCUCCCACCAGAUCAGCUGCUGGCCUUUUUACUUCAGAAGCAUUCCUGGCUCAUAGCCAUAAAUUUGACUAGCUGUCUAACUAAUGAGUUUACCUAGAGUUUAAUUGGAUGUUGGAGAAUUUCUCCUGAUUUGAAUCUGUCAGUCCAUUUUUGUCCCCUGUUUCUUACAGCAUAAGAAAUGAUGAACAAUUUUUCUCUAUUAAAACCUUCAUUUUAUGAUUGCACACACCUCUGCCAUAGCAACUUCAGGCAUCUCUUUUCCAAGACAUUGCUCUAUUUUUUUUUCUCAGUGAGGAAGUUAUUCAGUGUGUUUGCUCAUCCUUCUCCCUGACUUGUGUUCUUUUGUGUCUCAAGACAAAUACAGAUCUCAAUAAGUACUACCCAGGGAUCCCUUAGCUUCUUUGAACUGCAGUCAUUUUCUUAGUAGUGCUGUGUAAAAAUGACAUAUGUGAAAUACAGGGGAAUUUGCUGGAGACUUCCAAUGCUGAAGAUUAAGUAAAUAUGAUUUUACUCUACAUACAAAAUCUACUGAUGAGGAAGUUAAGUUCUUAUCAGCAGCAGUUACAGUAACUGGCUUGUCUGCUUUCCUCACGCAGGGGAUAAUUCUGACACAGAGAAUUUACUUGUUGGUAUCUUUUUUUUUUUUCUAUGACAG
ensembl:lncRNA